rnacentral:lncRNA from 1 species
GAGGGUAGAAUGUCUAACUUGCAAGGUAAUAGAUCUGAUCUAUUGUUUAAUACAUACAUUAGAUGUAGUAUAGAAACAUGUUGAUAUGAUCAACAUGUAGUUCAUGCUAUAUUUAUAUAUUUUAAUUUUUGAUUUAAUGCUAUGUAAUAAUCAUGUAAUAAGAUCUUAGAUCUAAGGAUUCUCUAAUUUUAAAAAAUAAAUUUUGAUUUAUUUUAGUCUUCCGCUGUAUGAUCUUGAAAAAGUUUCAAGAUCU